CGCGUUGGGAGCUCUCCCAUAUGGUCGACCUGCAGGCGGCCGCGAAUUCACUAGUGAUUCGUAUUACCGCGGCUGCUGGCACAGAGUUAGCCGGUGCUUAUUCUGCGGGUACCGUCAUAGCAACGAGUUAUUCGCUCGUUACCUUUCUUCCCCACCUAAAGUGCUUUACAACCCGAAGGCCUUCUUCACACACGCGGCAUCGCUGGAUCAGGGUUUCCCCCAUUGUCCAAGAUUCCCCACUGCUGCCUCCCGUAGGAGUCUGGGCCGUGUCUCAGUCCCAGUGUGGCUGGUCAUCCUCUCAGACCAGCUACGGAUCGUCGCCUUGGUAGGCUUUUACCCCACCAACUAGCUAAUCCGACGUAGGCUCACCCCAGAGCGCAAGGCCUUUCGGUCCCCUGCUUUUGAUCUCUCGAUAUCAUGUGGUAUUAGCCCGAGUUUCCUCGGGUUAUCCCACGCUCCAGGACAGAUUCCUACGUGUUACUCACCCGUCCGCCACUCGCCACCCCAUAAAGACCGAAAUCUUUACUGUGCUGCCGUUCGACUUGCAUGUGUUAGGCAUGCCGCCAGCGUUCAAUCUGAGCCAUGAUCAAACUCUAAUCGAAUUCCCGCGGCCG
rnacentral:rRNA from 1 species